rnacentral:rRNA from 1 species
UAAUGCGUGACCAACCUCGCCCCAUGCUCCAGAAUAGCUCUUGGAAACGGGUGGUAAUGCUGGAUGCUCCAACUUGACGCAUGUCUUGUUGGGAAAGUGUUUAGUGGCAUGGGAUGGGGUCGCGUCCUAUCAGCUUGUAGGCGGGGUAAUGGCCCACCUAGGCUUCGACGGGUAGCCGGCCUGAGAGGGCGGACGGCCACAUUGGGACUGAGAUACGGCCCAGACUCCUACGGGAGGCAGCAGCU